AUUGAACGCUGGCGGCAUGCCUUACACAUGCAAGUCGAACGGCAGCACGGGAGCAAUCCUGGUGGCGAGUGGCGAACGGGUGAGUAAUAUAUCGGAACGUGCCCAGUCGUGGGGGAUAACGCAGCGAAAGCUGUGCUAAUACCGCAUACGAUCUACGGAUGAAAGCGGGGGAUCGCAAGACCUCGCGCGGUUGGAGCGGCCGAUAUCAGAUUAGCUAGUUGGUGAGGUAAAGGCUCACCAAGGCGACGAUCUGUAGCUGGUCUGAGAGGACGACGAGUCACACUGGAACUGAGACACGUUGCAGACGCCUACUGGAGGCAGCAGUAGGGAAGUUGGGACAAUGGGCGAAAGCCUGAUCCAGCAAUGCCGCGUGCAGGAUGAAGACCUUCGGGUUGUAAACUGCUUUUGUACGGAACGAAACGGUGAGCUCUGAUACAGUUUGCUAAUGACGGUACCGUAAGAAUAAGCACCGGCUAACUACGUGCCAGCAGCCGCCGCGG
rnacentral:rRNA from 1 species